UACAGAGGUCCCGAGCGUUGUUCGGAUUCAUUGGGCGUAAAGGGUGCGUAGGUGGCGCCGUAAGUGGGGUGUGAAAAUCCCGGGGCUUAACCCCCGGGACUGCAUUCCAUACUGCGGUGCUUGAGGACUGGAGAGGAGACUGGAAUUUACGGUGUAGCAGUGAAAUGCGUAGAGAUCGUAAGGAAGACCAGUGGCGAAAGGGCGGGUCUCUGGACAGUUCCUGACACUGAGGCACGAAGGCCAGGGGAGCAAACAGG
rnacentral:rRNA from 1 species